UGAAGUUGGAAUUGCUAGUAAUCGCGAAUCAGAAUGUCGCGGUGAAUACGUUCCCGGGCCCUUGUACACACCGCCCGUCACACCAUGAGAGUCGGUAACACCCGAAGCCUGUGAGCUAACCGUAAGGAGGCAGCAGUCGAAGGUGGGGUUGAUGAUUGGGGUGAAGUCGUAACAAGGUAAC
rnacentral:rRNA from 1 species